rnacentral:rRNA from 1 species
UACGAGGGGGGCAAGCGUUGUUCGGAAUUAUUGGGCGUAAAGGGUGCGUAGGCGGUUUGACAAGUCUAAUGUGAAAUCCCCGGGCUUAACCUGGGAACUGCAUUGGUGACUGCAUUGCUCGAGUAUGGCAGAGGGGGGUGGAAUUCCACGUGUAGCAGUGAAAUGCGUAGAGAUGUGGAGGAACACCGAUGGCGAAGGCAGCCCCCUGGGCCAAUACUGACGCUCAUGCACGAAAGCGUGGGGAGCAAACAGG